AUUAAUUUAAUAGCGCUGAGUGUGCCAGCAUAAUAUGAUGCGAGUAUCUAUGCACUGAGUUUAAUUAAAUUAACUUGAGCAAAUAGUUGAUCCCUUGGUUGGUUGAUCUAGUUGUCGAAAGCACUGUAAAUAACCAAGAAGAUGAUUCUCACUUACUACCAGAGUACUACCGCUAUUGCUGGGCAUUCUCUCGUGAGUUAAAAAGCUUCCAGUAGCUAGAGCUGCUCUCUAAACAUCUCUAGGUAGUAAAGAAAGACUUAUACUGACAGAAGAUUAAGGCCUCACAGAUUAACUGAUAAAUUAUUAGCCUCAGUUGAAAUUAUUAGUACCCGCCCUCGAAUAAUAGCCUCAUAUUAUCUUUCCUGAAAUUAAUAGUAGCCGCGGGGUCUAUUUGAGGAAAUACAGUAUAUGCUCUAAAAUUUGGGUGUGUGACUAUGCCCACGGUGCUGUGCAUGCUUAGAUCUCAGAACAAGCAAUUUUUUAUGUAGUUAUGCUUGAAUGAACUGCAAUACUUAGUGGAGGUUCCAGGCUUCCAGUUCCAGCUAAGAGAAGAUCCCUCUACCUGAUUCUGUUACUGGUAGAUACCGCCAUACUAUAUCAUCAUUUGUUCUUGAUCCUAAUCAUGUGUUCCUGAUAAUAGUGGGAGGUUGUGUAGAGAUGGAACAGGUAGAUGUAGGAGGAGGAGUAAUGGAAUGGUUUGAUAAACCUGUCACUGAUCCCAAUAUCACAAUGGUAGUAGAACUAGUUUUAAAUGAUGGUCAAUGGUCAGUGGGUCCAGUAUUAGAUUCAUAUGAUAUUCCUUUAUUCUAUCAACAAAUACUAAAUUCAAGAAGAAAGGAAUUGAUUGAAAAAUAUGUAUACAUGACAGAAAAAGUGAAGGAGCUUCAAGUUAUCAAUGAGUAUUUUUAUUAUGAUCUACAAGUGGCUAGAAUUAACAACCAAUCACUUCAGGAAAAACUACUGAAAACUCAAUCAC